UCACUAUGAAGCUAAGAGCGUUAACCUUUUAAGUUAAAAUUAGAGACCUUUAGUCUCCAUAGUGAU
rnacentral:tRNA from 1 species